rnacentral:rRNA from 1 species
UACGGAGGUGGCAAGCGUUGUUCGGAAUUACUGGGCGUAAAGGGCGCGUAGGCGGUUCGAUAAGUCCCGUGUGAAAUCCCUCGGCUCAACUGAGGAAUGGCACGGGAAACUGACGGGCUUGAGUUCGGGAGAGGGAAGCGGAAUUCCGGGUGUAGCGGUGAAAUGCGUAGAUAUCCGGAGGAACACCGGUGGCGAAGGCGGCUUCCUGGACCGACACUGACGCUGAGGCGCGAAAGCGUGGGGAGCAAACAGG